AAUAAAUGCAUUGCCCAAGUCACAUUUCUUAUGAGACUUCACCCUAUGAAAGACUUCCACUCUGCCUUUGUUGUAUACACUGCGUACUAAGCAAAGUGAUGGUCCAAGAGAUAGACACUCAAGGCAAAGGAUCUACAGAGGGGCUGACUAUUUUUCUUAUGAUCCACGCACACAGAAAAUGAAGAAGGAUGACACAGAAAUUUUCCCCAGGAGCCUCAAGAAAAGAUGAACACUAGUAUGUUUCUGUUUUGUGGAAAGAAGAGAAAGCUCCAGAGUAUACAGAUUGUGGCCACCAAACUAUAAAAAUUGCAAUUAUAGAGGACAAUGCCGUGUUUCCUGUAAGAAACAGCAUGAGAUUUUUCUAAAGAUUGUUGACAACUAUGAGAGUCGUGGAAGAAGCAGCACAAACUACAUACUCUUAAGUGCGAGUCGGCCCUGAAGACUACUACACUAAGAAAAUGUGAGCGAAGAUUCUUUGUCCUUGGUUUUCCGCGGGAGACUGACUGAGCUACAGAUAGCUGUGACAGAUGGUGCUCUGUCCUUUAUAUCAAGGACAACAUUGCACCUCGUGGACUUGUUUUUCCCUUGUGCGGUGGCAUGUGCCCAUUAGGUUUUGCUGGGGAUGGAGCAGUGACAGUGUUCUGCUGAUCAGACAGCUGUGGGGGUGACAGGUUCUCAGGAAUAAUGGUGCUGGCACAACUGGGCACUGAAUUUGCAUCCAUGUGUGGACAUGUGCCUGGAGGCUUAGCGAGAACACCACCGUGUCUUUUGUCAGCAACUCAGUACAAUCAGAAACAAUUACAGCAUUCUGUUAUGGUUGAAUACCGGGCUGGUUUAAAAUAGUAUUCCACCUUUAACCACCUAAGUGAGACAGAUUUUUCCUUCAGAUGUGUCAAUAAGUAUGUUGAAAUAUGUCUGAACAUUUGAGAAGAGUAAAGAAGUCUUAAAUAAAAAAUCAAGAAUAAG
ensembl:lncRNA